rnacentral:rRNA from 1 species
GAUGAACGCUGGCGGCGUGCCUAAUACAUGCAAGUCGAGCGAACGGACGAGAAGCUUGCUUCUCUGAUGUUAGCGGCGGACGGGUGAGUAACACGUGGAUAACCUACCUAUAAGACUGGGAUAACUUCGGGAAACCGUAGCUAAUACCGGAUAAUAUUUUGAACCGCAUGGUUCAAAAGUGAAAGACGGUCUUGCUGUCACUUAUAGAUUGAUCCGCGCUGCAUUAGCUAGUUGGUAAGGUAACGGCUUACCAAGGCAACGAUGCAUAGCCGACCUGAGAGGGUGAUCGGCCACACUGGAACUGAGACACGGUCCAGACUCCUACGGGAGGCAGCAGUAGGGAAUCUUCCGCAAUGGGCGAAAGCCUGACGGAGCAACGCCGCGUGAGUGAUGAAGGUCUUCGGAUCGUAAAACUCUGUUAUUAGGGAAGAACAUAUGUGUAAGUAACUGUGCACAUCUUGACGGUACCUAAUCAGAAAGCCACGGCUAACUACGUG